rnacentral:lncRNA from 1 species
ACAGCUUCAAGUGAAGUUAAUCUGAGGUGAAGCAAACAGAAAAUUGUGGAGGUUUUGUUGGUGGAGAUAAGUAAUUAACAUUUCGAAACAGGAAAUGAAAGGAUUUAUAUUUUUAAAAGCUAUAGGAAUGAAUCUGAAGUCUGCUGCAGUAAAACACAGAAGGCUUUAAAAUGUUUUCUUGCAUAAAAUUCAAAACUUUUAAGUAGCUGCUUAUGAGAAUAGGGAAGGCAGAAAGCUAAUGUCUGUCUCAAGAUACAGGACAGCUGUUUGCUCAUCAACCUCAACUGUGUGUGCAACUGAGGAACAUGGCUCAAGAAACUAAUCACAGCCAAGUGCCUAUGCUUUGUUCCACUGGCUGUGGAUUUUAUGGAAACCCUCGUACAAAUGGCAUGUGUUCAGUAUGCUAUAAAGAACAUCUUCAAAGACAGAAUAGUAGUAAUGGUAGAAUAAGCCCACCUGCAACCUCUGUCAGUAGUCUGUCUGAAUCUUUACCAGUUCAAUGCACAGAUGGCAGUGUGCCAGAAGCCCAGUCAGCAUUAGACUCUACAUCUUCAUCUAUGCAGCCCAG